rnacentral:antisense_RNA from 1 species
GACGCUUCCCUCCCACCUGGGGUCAACGGCCUUUUCCGGCCCAAACCCGCUCCUCAGCUCGUGAAUAGUCAACGAGGCCUUUCUGGGCGGGACCAGAGGUUUCCUCAUGAAUAAUUCAUGACCCGUUCACGGCUGGCCGGGGCGACCGGCCUCGCUAGACUUCAUGAAUAUGCAAAGCAGGGGCGAGCGGCGGCUAGCCGGCCCCUAGCCCGCCCGGCCCCUCAGCAGCCGCCUCUCAGCCACUGGCUGCACACUGACCCGACGCGACCUUCUCUCGGGGGCCGCCAGCCUGGGCCACCUGUACAACGACAGCCUGCUCCGGGGCUUCCUGAGGAGGUGCCUGCCCGCCGAGGUUCAACAGCUUCGGAGAGCAGGACAUCUUUUCCUCUCAGCCUGGCCCUCUGCAAUAGAGGCCAUAAACAGGCCAGUAGUGAAAGCUACAGGACAUGUGAGCAUGGCAGGGGCUGAGCUCCAUUUUAAGGUCUUGCCCUGUCAUCCAGGCUGGAGUGCAAUGGAUCUUGGAUCACUGCAACCUCCACCUUCUAGGCUCAAGUGAUCCUCCUGCCUCAACCUCCCAAG